CCGAGCCUGCCUGGAGCCGCCGCCGGUGCAGAUUCUUGGUGGUAGUAGCAAAUACUCCAGCGAGGCCCUGGAGGACUGAUGUGGAGAAGGGUUUCGUGUGAACAGCCGUUGCACACGAGUCAGUCGAUCCUAAGCCCUAUGAGAAAUCCGAUACUAACGGCGAUGGGAAAUAAGUGAAAAGAACGUUUUCUUACGAAGUGAAGCGGCCCAUUGAUCGGGCGAAAGGGAAUCCGGUUCCUAUUCCGGAACCCGGCAGCGGAACCGUAGUUUGUCGGGCCUUCGGGUUCGUCAGGGUAACCUAAAAGGGCCCGGAGACGCCGUCGGGAGCCCCGGAAAGAGUUUUCUUUUCUGCAUGAGCGUUCGAGUUCCCUGGAAUCCUCUCGCAGGGAGAUAGGGUUUGGAACGCGAAGAGCACCGCAGUUGCGGCGGUGCCCGGGAAUUCCCGACGGACCUUGAAAAUCCGGGAGAGGGCCACGUGGAGGUGUCGCGCCGGCUCGUACCCAUAUCCGCAGCAGGUCUCCAAGGUGAAGGAGCCUCUAGUCCAUAGAAAUAAAUGUAGUGAAGGGAA
rnacentral:rRNA from 1 species